rnacentral:lncRNA from 1 species
GUCAGGCACUCAUUGUGCGGGAGGGGAUCUGGCAUAGAGGAUUUUGUGCAGGUUCACACCUAGUUCUGACCCCUUCAUUUGUUAGCUCUAAACCUUGAAGAAGUAAUUUUGAAUUCAAGGUAUCAAAGCUUCCUUUGCAAUUGAGAGCACAGGAUUGGUGAUCUUCCUGCGUAGAAUUCACUGACGGCUAUAUUUUUGGCAUACUGAAUAAUCAGGAGAUGCCAAAUUUCAUAUCUUAUUAUAGUAAAAUGGGACAAAUAAUGAGCAUCAACUGUAAACGUGCCUCUGUG